GUGCUCACGUUGGCAGCACACAUACUAAAGUUUGAACAAUACAGAGAGGGUUAGCAUGGCCCCUGCGCAAGGCUGACCUGCAAAUUUGUGAAACAUUCCAUAUUUUU